AACGAACGCUGGCGGCAUGCCUAACACAUGCGAGUCGAACGAGACCUUCGGGUCUAGUGGCGCACGGGUGCGUAACGCGUGGGAAUCUGCCCUUGGGUUCGGAAUAACAGUUGGAAACGACUGCUAAUACCGGAUGAUGACGUAAGUCCAAAGAUUUAUCGCCCAGGGAUGAGCCCGCGUAGGAUUAGCUAGUUGGUGGGGUAAAGGCCUACCAAGGCGACGAUCCUUAGCUGGUCUGAGAGGAUGAUCAGCCACACUGGGACUGAGACACGGCCCAGACUCCUACGGGAGGCAGCAGUGGGGAAUAUUGGACAAUGGGCGAAAGCCUGAUCCAGCAAUGCCGCGUGAGUGAUGAAGGCCUUAGGGUUGUAAAACUCUUUUACCCGGGAUGAUAAUGACAGUACCGGGAGAAUAAGCCCCGGCUAACUCCGUG
rnacentral:rRNA from 1 species